AAAAAAAAGAGAUGAGUUUUUACAAACCCAAUGAGUAAGUAGCUCAUCUACAACAUCUAAAGCCGAGUAAAUAGAGACAGUUAAAUCAUCCCAUCAUAAUAUGAUUCAUAACAUUUAAAACUCAUUUCAAUUCAUAUAAAACAAUUACAUUUCAUUGAAAUAAUCAACAAGGCUUAUGAUUCUCUUAAAAACUUGGCUUGUGCCAAAACUCAUGCUCAGUGACACCUUGGCCCGGGCAUCCAACCGAGUCCGCCAAGGAUGUUAAAACGACAUAUACCCAUAAAACAUGUUUUUACUUUUAAAAUAUAGUCAUUCCUUGGCGUUGGCUGAGUUUCAUCCUCACGUGGUGGUUUGGCGUGAAGUAAACUCUAAACUUACCUUACGAGAUACCCUCCACGCCUCUCGUACUAAAGUAAAAUAUAACGGGGUUUACCGUGCCCCCCUAAUAGGCUGGUCCAUGGAAACCCGCCCACUACAGUAAGCUAAUCAAAUAACCCACCAAAUCAAUAAAAAUUUCAACAGCAUGACAUGGCUAAUAUAAUAUGACCCAGCCUGUCAAGGUAAAACAAAACAGUUUAUAUAAUCCACAAACCACAAAUCCAGCCAUUCAUGCCAUCACAUUAUCAUAAGCCAUCAAUUCAAACCAUAUAUAUAUAUAUAUAUAACACAAGUAUAUAGUCUCCACUUACUCAAUUUCCAAAACCAGUAUUCGAUUUCAAAACAAGUUAUAAAUCUCAUUUUAUUUAACCAACACUUCAAUUUUAAAACAUAAUAAUUUACCAUUUAAACUCAUUAUUCUUUAAAACAUAAAAACGAGUAUAAACUACUUUAGAUAGUUAAGAUGAUCAUCUGAUUACUCACAAUAACGGGAGUUUGGAGUACUCAUAUUCUUGGUCUUCAUGUAUGAUAUCUUUACCCUUAUCAAAGGGCUCACCACCUAUAUAUAAUAUACGACACAUAAUUCAAUAUAUUUGUGCCAAACUAUUAUAAAACUAUUUUAAGCUCUAUAUGAAUGCAUGAAAUUAAAUGAGAAUUGUUUGAAUAAUCACUUAAAAACGGUGUUCUACGUAGGUUCAAUUAUGAUUAGACUGAAUUUGUAUUCAACCUAACUCGAACUAUACACUGUUGAAUAAACCAAAACAUCCGAUUCAACUUCAAAUAUAUUCAUUACACUUCCAAUAUUCCAAAUACACCAAACUACCUCAAUGAGCUUGAUUGUGACUUAAUUCAUCAUAACCGAAAUUCAUUUCGAUUCCAAACUAACAUACUAAUCAGUGUUAACACAGUCCACUAAAUCCAUCUACAUUAUUAGGAAUCAAAGCUAUCAUCAACAUGUCAUCUAUAAAAUUUGGCCAAAGAGGGUUGUUGAAGGGCAUGUGAUUUUCUUGCUUGUUUUUCAUACCAAACAUCAUCAAACAACUAAAAACACUAAGAUAUCAUGAAAUCUAGCAAAAUCCAUCAUCAAAACCUCUUUCUCUAUGUUCGGCUAGCAAGUAUUCCCUCAUGAAAACUUGUGUUUCAACCAUAGAAAAUGAAAAAGAAAGCAUGGGAAAGGUAGAUUUUAAGCUAAAAUUGAAAAAUCUUACCUUUGAUUCCUUUGUUCUUUGAAAUUCAACAAAUUUCUCUUGAAUUUUCCUCUCUAGGGUUUGUUUCUAUUCUUUUCUCUUUGUUCUUUGCUUUGGCUGGC
rnacentral:lncRNA from 1 species